rnacentral:rRNA from 1 species
UACGUAGGGUGCAAGCGUUGUCCGGAAUUAUUGGGCGUAAAGAGCUCGUAGGCGGUUUGUCGCGUCUGCCGUGAAAGUCCGGGGCUCAACUCCGGAUCUGCGGUGGGUACGGGCAGACUAGAGUGCAGUAGGGGAGACUGGAAUUCCUGGUGUAGCGGUGAAAUGCGCAGAUAUCAGGAGGAACACCGAUGGCGAAGGCAGGUCUCUGGGCUGUAACUGACGCUGAGGAGCGAAAGCAUGGGGAGCGAACAGG